rnacentral:lncRNA from 1 species
GUGAGCUUUUCCCAUCACUUUGCGUCCGGCGUCCGGCGUCCGUCGUCGUCGUCCGUCGUCGUUAACUUUUACAAAAAUCUUCUCCUAUGAAACUACUGGGCCAAAUUAAACCAAACUUGGCCACAAUCAUCAUUGGGGUAUCUAGUUUAAAAAAUGUGUGGCGUGACCCGGCCAACCAACCAAGAUGGCCGCCAUGGCUAAAAAUAGAACAUAAGGGUAAAAUGCAGUUUUUGGCUUAUAACUCAAAAACCAAAGCAUUUAGAGCAAAUCUGACAUGGGGUAAAAUUGUUUAUCAGGUCAAGAUCUAUCUGCCCUGAAAUUUUCAGAUGAAUCGGACAACCUGUUGUUGGGUUGCUGCCCCUGAAUUGAUAAUUUUAAGGAAAUUUUGCUGUUUUUGGUUAUUAUCUUGAAUAUUAUUAUAGAUAGAGAUAAACUGUAAACAGCAAUAAUGUUCAGCAAAGUAAGAUUUACAAAUAAGUCAACAUGACCGAAAUGGUCAGUUGACCCCUUUAGGAGUUAUUG